rnacentral:rRNA from 1 species
UACGAAGGGGGUUAGCGUUGCUCGGAAUUACUGGGCGUAAAGGGCGCGUAGGCGGACAUUUAAGUCAGGGGUGAAAUCCCAGAGCUCAACUCUGGAACUGCCUUUGAUACUGGAUGUCUUGAGUGUGAGAGAGGUAUGUGGAACUCCGAGUGUAGAGGUGAAAUUCGUAGAUAUUCGGAAGAACACCAGUGGCGAAGGCGACAUACUGGCUCAUUACUGACGCUGAGGCUCGAAAGCGUGGGGAGCAAACAGG